CGUAACCGAAACUAAGCACUGUUUCUGUAAAGUACAAUGGCCUCGUUAUACCUUGGUCUCCGUUGCAAACAGAUUGACGCACUGUCAGAGAUUGUGGACACGGUGCAGGGCAGGAUCGAGGUUUAUCUGGACGGAGGCAUCAGGACAGGAAGUGAUUUACUGAAAGUAAUUCUUGUUCCUCUGGGUGAUCUCUCAGGGUGAGGAGGGAGUGAGGGAAGUACUGCAAAUCCUAAAUGAUGAGUUCCGUCUGUCCAUGGCUUUGUCAGGUUGCAGGAACGUGGCCGAAAUCAACAGGAACCUCAUUCAGUUCUCCAAACUCUAAGUUGCCAGCACAGGGCGGGACUGAGGAUGAUAACGGCACCUACUGAAGAGGACUCGCUACUGAAUCCAACCUGAAGUGUUGAACAAGAGCCUGAGACUGCAUCAUGACCAACUGAAAGAUGUUCGCCUCAGAACUCAUGUCUUUAUCAUGUCAAGGAAACGCGAUAUAUGCAAGCAGCUUCCGUCAUUUGGAAAUGACUUGUGUCUGACAUCCAAUAUGUAUUCAUGCCAAAGUGUAAGAGUGAGAGUGUGUCUUGGGAAAGCUGAGGAUCGCGGCAGAUUUAGCAAAUAAAUAAUCAAAGUGAUUUUGCUUUUAGCAUUGGAGCGCAUGGAGGCGCUUAUCAUGCAACCAACGGUUUGAAAUGCUGCCAGUGCUUGUGGUUUAAUAAACACCUGAUGAGGUGAUGUAGAUUUGUUGUUUUUUUCUGGAUCUGUUAAUCACUGGCGAAAACAGAUGAAGACGUAGCAGAAGUCUGUCUUUUGUUUUUGUUUCCCAAAUGUAGACUCAAGGGGAAUUACGUGGACAGUAAUUCUGUUUUAAUGCAGGGAAGAUUCAAGUGCAGUAGUCUGAUCAAGAGUGUGGGCACACAAUUGCCACAACAUCUUCACAAGAUACAGCUGUUCACUCUAUUGUGUUUUAAUUCCCUAAUGAAAUAUAAUGUAGUCCAAGUUUCCCAAUGAACAGGACAGGAAAACUAACCUGAUCAGUGCCUGAACCUUGUUACAGCUACAGGCCAGAUUCCCACCGGCAUCUAGAAAACACAAUGAACUAUGAAAAAGGUCAAAUGACCAUUUUGUCUAUUGUCUUUGCAUGGGAUUUUGUUGAGUAUGUUACAUGGUUUCAGCUUUCAUCCAGCAAAAGACAUGAAAACACUAUCAAACAGUAAGAAUAAAUGCUAAAAAAAAGUUUCAGACAGUACAUCUAUCCAUUUGGGUUAUCAUGUUUGUCUUAUCUCGC